UACGUAGGGGGCAAGCGUUGUCCGGAUUUACUGGGCGUAAAGCGUGUGCAGGCGGUUCUCUAAGUCGGGCGGGAAAGCUUCAGGCUAAACCUGAAGAGGCCGUGCGAGACUGUAGAACUAGAAUCCAUCAGAGGCAAGCAGAACUCCAGGUGUAGUGGUGAAAUGCGUAGAGAUCUGGAGGAAUACCAGAGGCGAAGGCGGCUUGCUGGGGUGGAAUUGACGCUCAGACACGAAAGCAUGGGGAGCGAACGGG
rnacentral:rRNA from 1 species